UAAUUCUCCAAACCACCCUAUUCACCUCAAAUUGGUGACCCCGACGUGAUCGACAGCGAAAAGAGGUGUGACCCUGAUAGCGCUACCGAGAUUUCGAUCAUCGCGAAUCUAAGACUGUGACAAUAUGGACCUUACAGCUGCGACGAGCGGAACGGCCCUUCCUUCUUCAGCAAAACCUCGACGCCUCACCGCUGACCCACGCAAGCAGGUGACAGGAUACGGAGACGACGAUGACCAAGCCAGGAGUGAUGAUGUGGUCAUUGCGAAGUUCAUGGGCAUCACUACCAGCACGUCAUACUGAAAAAAGGAACAGAGGCCUACGACCGUACGCGGAACGCCCCGCACCGUACCGACGGUAUUCACCGCCACAUCGAAGACUUCGCGCAACAUCUGCACGGGUUUGGCAACAAAUGGCUGACGCUUUACCACACAUAGAAGGAACGUUUAUCACUGGUAAGGGGGUACUGUGGCGGCACUCGACAGCAAAUACCACCGGACGACACCAACUAGUGUCGGACGACGGUGUAGCGCAGUGGUUAGCGUAAGUAGACUACCGAGCUGUCCUGUUUUUGCGACCAGUUUUUUCAGGACAGAGAUAGGAAGAAAAAACAAUAUCGUAUAUAAGCAGCGCUCUACAGCGACUUAAAUCAAAUUUAAAAAUAGUAACGCUAAAAAAUGUAAUUUCGACACACAAAACAUUGUAUGGCUAUGUCGUACCGUCACGUAUCGGUACUUUUGCCUAAACCAUCCCACAACCGAAAUUCAUUGUUUGUUAUG